CUUGUGUUAAAAGCAGAGAUUCAAAGAGGAUCUUAAUUUGCUGAAGAUCUUUUGAAAUAUCCACAUUUUCAUGCAAACCAAAUACCUCUGGUUCCUGACUAAAGGGAAGACUCUAGGACAAAAUACAGAUUAUAAAAGUCAUCCAGCAUCGUCAGCAGUAAGCGUCUGUCCCAGUCAUCUGUCACACGACCUCCAUAAUUGCACUCACCAGUUAGGUGAUGAUUACCUAAGUGGUUCCUUACUUAUCAGGAAGAGAUAUGGGCACUGCAGUACUAGUCCCUGAGAGCAAGAAAAGGAUUUGAGUGCUUACCAUCUCAACAGUGAUAAUGCUUAUAUUUAUCCUAAUUUUGUACUUUCAAAAGGAAGUUUGGCUUUGCAUGUGCUUCUGUUUGGAAUGGCAUUACAGCUGAGUUCUGCCCCUCGGUUACACAACUUGGACAGGUAUCCUCUUCUGAUAAAUGUUCGAAGUUCAUGCAAAUUGUAUAAUACGUACAUGUAACAUUUUAGUUUUGUGUAAUUUA